CCCUUAGAUGUUCUGGGCCGCACGCGCGCUACACUGAUGCAUGCAACAAGUCUUUUCCUUGGCCGAGAGGCCUGGGCAAUCUUUGAAUAUGCAUCGUGAUGGGGAUAGACGAUUGCAAUUAUUCGUCUUCAACGAGGAAUUCCUAGUAAACGCAAGUCAUCAGCUUGCAUUGAUUACGUCCCUGCCCUUUGUACACACCGCCCGUCGCACCUACCGAUUGAAUGGUCCGGUGAAGGCUUCGGAGGCGGCUUUCUCAAUGUUUAUUCGGCGAGACUGCUGCCAAAGUUGAAUGAACCUUACCAUUUAGAGGAAGGUGAAGUCGUANCA
rnacentral:rRNA from 1 species